rnacentral:tRNA from 2 species
GUGAGUGUAGCUCAGUUGGUUAGAGCGCCAGAUUGUGGUUCUGGUGGUCGGGGGUUCAAAUCCCCUCACUCACC